GCCAGGGGCAGCAGCAGAAGAUGCCAGGAGAGAACAGAGAAUAUUCUGGGUCAAAGUCUUUGUUGAAGCUAAGGUGGUGCAUUUGGAGACCCCAUUUCUCCAUCCUGCAGAAGCUUCACAGCUGAAGCCAUCGAGACCACGAACCCACCAGGAGGAACGAACAACUCCAGAAGCACCGCCUUAAAAGCUGUAACACCCACCGCGAAGAUCUGCAGGUUCACUCCUGAGCUGCCGAGACCACGAACCCACCGGAAGAAAGAAACUUCGAACACAUCCGAACAUGAGAAAUAACAAACUCCAGAUACGCGUCUUUUAAGAACUGUAGCAAUCACCGUGAGGGUCCGCGGCUUCAUUCUUGAAGUGAGACCAAGAACCCACCAAUUCCGGACGCAACUGCCCUCCAGCCUGGGCGACAGAGCGAGACUCCGUCUCAAAAAAAAAAAAAAAAAAAAAAAAAAAAAACAGAAACAAUCCCACCCAGCUUUAGCAAGUCGGAGGAG
rnacentral:lncRNA from 10 species